CAGCUUGGAGCCUGGUUUCCUGUUGCUCAUGAAUGGCAAGCUGAGAAAUAAACUACGGGCUUUAUUAUUGGGAUUCUAGAUUUCGAGUCAUAAGUAGAAAGACCUUCGCCCACUCUGAGGUUAUAAAGAGGAAACAAACUCCUGUCGAGGAUCUACAGGGAGAAGUAGACUAGAGCAUUAUUAGCAUCAUCAUUAUUCUGGCUGGAGCAAUUGCACUUAUCAUCGGUUUUGGUA